GUAAGUGUGCUUCAUGAGGUCAGGAACAGCCUGGAAGGAUUGGAGAGAGAAUCCUGUGCUGAACACCUUGUUUGUUCUCUUCCUUACGGAAACUGGCAUGUAUGGAGCACCCCAGUUCUCAAGCCUGAAAUGUGUUUAAAUGGUCCUGUCUCCUUCCCUGCUCACUAGAUCCUGCAGACAGACAAUGGCUGCCACCAAAAACAAAAAGGAUGUAAUUUUGGGAGCCACCCUGGACACAAUAUCUAUUCUCAAAAUGUGGGAUUCAUUACUGAACUUAAAGCUCUAAAUGUGGUCUGAUUGGUAGCCUGGAUGAAUUGUUUCUGAAUUUGGAAUCCAACCUUUACCAGAAUCUAUUCAGCUUCAUUAUAAUGUUGUUCUCUCUUUAGAACCUGUGGAUUUCAUAGAUUCCUAUUCCUAUCUUGAUUAUCUAAGUGAUAUCCAGCUAUUGAUAUUUUACCAUUUUGCUUAA